ACGGCCAUGUCAUGUUGAAACACUGGUUCUCGUACGAUGACUGAAGUUAAGCAACGUCGAGCCUGUUCAGUAUCUAGAUCGAUGACCGCUUGGGAAUAUCAGGGGCUGUAAG